rnacentral:rRNA from 1 species
UACAGAGGGUGCGAGCGUUAGUCGGAAUUACUGGGCGUAAAGCGCACGUAGGUGGCGACGUAAGUCGGGUGUGAAAGCCCCGGGCUCAACCUGGGAAUUGCAUUCGAGACUGCAUUGCUGGAGUACGGAAGAGGAAGGCGGAAUUCCCGGUGUAGCGGUGAAAUGCGUAGAUAUCGGGAGGAACAUCAGUGGCGAAGGCGGCCUUCUGGUCCAGUACUGACACUCAAGUGCGAAAGCGUGGGGAGCAAACAGG